GGCGGUAAAUAACUUUAAGAACGAGACCGGUUACACCAACCGCAUGAUGACGAGAGUAGCCCAGCCCCCCGUCGUCCCCACCCCUCCUCUCCAGCCUCAAUCCCGCCCUCAGUGCCCGCUCCAGCCUAUCAGGAGCCAGCAGGACCCUCUCAUGCCCCGCCCUCCAGCCUUAGACACGCCACCAUUGGCUCAGCAGCAGCAGCAGGUUGGCCCGCCCCUCAGACACAGCCAGUGAAACAGAGGUGUCUGUGAGGUUGAGGUAAGGUUUUAGUAACGAUGCUACAUGUCUGUUUUUCCAGAGAGCCAGAGAGUGGAGGAGUUCAGUCUGUGGUGGUCUCAGCCGACCCCCUCUAGCCAAGGGAUAUCGUGUUCCAGUGAUGGGUCAACCCCAGUCUGACGGUCACUCCUCCCUGCAGAGGACAGGUCCUCCACCCAGGUCCAAUCCUCCCAGACUUCCUGAAGGACCAGUCCAUUGGGACAGAUACAGCCCCUCAGGUCGUGGCAGGAACCAUAGCGACCGCGCCCCUCCCUCCCAGCCUCUGCCGCCCUCCAACGUGCCACCCCCUCUCUACAACCCUCCCUCCAUUUUCU
rnacentral:lncRNA from 1 species